GUAUCGUAGCCAAUGAGGUUUAUCCGAGGCGCGAUUAUUGCUAAUUGAAAACUUUUCCCAAUACCCCGCCAUGACGACUUGAAAUAUAGUCGGCAUUGGCAAUUUUUGACAGUCUCUACGGAGACUGAAUAACCUUGACACCUAGGAGUCACACUUGUGGGCAUGGCAGAUCCACCAGUCCUCCAACACUACUCUGACGUGCGGCAAAAGGAUGUGAUCACCGAGGGAAAAGGUGAAGUGUGGCAGCAGCAGCUGAUGGUUCAGAAGGCGCUGCGGUGUGCUACAUUGGUACUCUGCUUCAAGGAACUGAUAGUUUAGAGACAAACCACAAACAAGGUCUCAUUUUGUUGUCCAGGCUGGCCUUCAACUC